rnacentral:lncRNA from 1 species
UCAAACUGGCAACAUCCUUUUGCCUCAGCCUCUGAAGUGCUGAAAUUACUGGUGUGAGCUGCAAUGCCUUGUUAUAACAUCUAGAUAUUCCUAAUGAAAAAGUGCUAUUGUUGAGAUUUAUGUUUAGAAAGUGAAGACAAUAUUGUUCAUUUAACUAUCAUUCAGACACCAGAGAACACGUUCCUUUUGUAUAAAUCAUGCUACUUUUUAAAAAACAAAAACAAUCUCUUCCUGAUUGAGUCCUCCACCCAUUCUCAUUUAAAAAAAAAAAGUUCUUAAAUUGUCUUCUGAACUCUUACAAGAGUAAAACAUUGGUGUGUACAUUCACUCAUCAAUGGGUUUUUGAAGGUUCCUUGGGCAGAAGUGAUACUUUGGAUAUCAGCCUUGGAUAAAUACAUUUAGAGAUGGACUAAAAGAGACAAUUGGGUCUGGUGUGGUAGUGCGUUCCUUAAAUCUCAGCACUCUGGAGGAAGAGCCAGGCAGAUGUCUGAGUUAUAGGCCAGCUUGGUCUAUGUACUGUGUUUCAGGCUAGCUACAUAGUGAGACCCUGUCUCAAAUAAAACAAAACAAAACAAAAAAACAAUUUGAGCACAUGGUUUACUUUUAUUUAUUUAUUUUUAGUGGUAUCUGGGAUUAAACUCAGGGUCUUAAGCUUGUUAGGCAUAUAACACUGAUAGUAUAUGCAUCAACCCUUUUUAGCCCCCCCCCCC